AGCUCCUAUAUCGUGGCCUUAAGUUUUUGGAGGCCAAACCUGUGUUGGAGAUCACAGGAUUUUCAAAUACAUUUUUUAUUAUUGAAAUCUGGGAACAGAACAGAUCCUGGACACAAUCCCAAAUGUGCCUAUAAAUCUUUUCAAUGGUAUGUUAAUUUUAAUUUGCUCUUACUGAUAAAUUGUUAAUUACAGAGACUACAAAUUCAUAAUCAUUGUAGAGAAACUCAAGACAAUUGUUUGCAUUCCAACUUUCCAAUCAUAAAUGUGUAUUAUAUCAAUGUAUGGUCUUCAUAUUUCUUCUUCACUUUGUUCUUUCCUGUUCCAUGAGCAAAGAUGUUUUCAGUGGGUGAGGCGAUUAAUAUGUAACCUUCCAUCUGAAUUCGCAAAUGUUUGACAUUAGAAACUUGGCUAAGAAAAUGGGAGCUUCCAGGGACGUUUCACUUGUUGAGGAGCUCACCAGAGCUUGAGCCACCGACUCUUGAAGUGACAUCUUCCUCCUAUGUUUAUAUACAUUAAAAGUUCCGGAAGAAGCAUCAAUUCAAGAAAGGAGACUAGUACUUAGAAUCACAAAAGGCCACUUUACGCAGUCUGUCACCCAAGCUGAAGACUAUCAGACUACACAGAAUUGUUGGCGAUAAGAAAAACAUAGAAUCAAAGUAUGCAGGGAGGGACAAAGACUGGCUUCCUAAGAAGUGUCAGAAGAAAAUGGAGCUGCUGAGGUUCUUGCUAAAGCAUGUUUGAAAAUCUAUUCCAAUUCCCAAGAGCCUCUCCUCAUGCCAAAUUUAAAUUCUUGUAGGAAACUCUGCGAUUUGUCAUGCUUGAUGUAUGCUUAAGCUCUUUGUUUAAUAUUGCCUUCAUCUUAAGUUCUUUGUUUAACGUUACCUUAAGCGGCAAAGAUGUCAGUCUUUAUUUUCAUCUAUCAUGGACAAGAUACAAUUUUG